AGUGAACGCUGGCGGUAGGCCUAACACAUGCAAGUCGAACGGCAGCACAGUAAGAGCUUGCUCUUACGGGUGGCGAGUGGCGGACGGGUGAGGAAUACAUCGGAAUCUACUUUUUCGUGGGGGAUAACGUAGGGAAACUUACGCUAAUACCGCAUACGACCUACGGGUGAAGGCAGGGGAUCUUCGGACCUUGCGCGAUUGAAUGAGCCGAUGUCGGAUUAGCUAGUUGGCGGGGUAAAGGCCCACCAAGGCGACGAUCCGUAGCUGGUCUGAGAGGAUCAUCAGCCACACUGGAACUGAGACACGGUCCAGACUCCUACGGGAGGCAGCAGUGGGGAAUAUUGGACAAUGGGCGCAAGCCUGAUCCAGCCAUACCGCGUGGGUGAAGAAGGCCUUCGGGUUGUAAAGCCCUUUUGUUGGGAAAGAAAAGCAGCAGGUUAAUACCCCGCUGUUCUGACGGUACCCAAAGAAUAAGCACCGGCUAACUUCGUG
rnacentral:rRNA from 1 species